AGGGAGGGUGAGGGGUCAAGGAGGGGGGAGGGUGGGUGGUGGGACCACCCCCCUCCCCACCUCCUUCUGAUCCCCAAAUGGAGUGGGGAGGGGCCCUUUGACCCCCA